rnacentral:lncRNA from 1 species
UGGAAGUCAUAAAAUAGUGUAGGGUAUCAUAAAACAAUUCAAAAAGUCAUAAAAAUAUAUGGAGUUAUGAAACAAUAUUGGAAGUCAUGAAAUAGUGUCAGAAGUCAUGAAAUAGUGCAUCAUGAAAUAGUGUCAAAAAUCAUGAAACAAUAUCGAAAGUCAUGAAACAUUGGCGAAAGUAUAAGACAGUGCUAGAUGUCAAAAAAAAUAGUGGAGGAAGUCAUAAAAUACUAUAGGAAGAUAUCAAAUAUUGCUGGAAGUCAUAAAAUAGUGCAAAAAAUCUAAAAUAGUAUAAGAAGUGAUAAAAUAGUGUAGAAAAUCAUAAAUAGUAGAGAAAGUCAUAAAACAGUAUACGAUGUCAUCUAAAACUUGAUUUUGGAAGGGUUUAUGGAUGCCAUUAUUGGAUGAGUUUGAUGCUUACAUGUGCAACCAAAUUACACAGGAG